GUGUUGUUAUUUAUCUAUGUUUUCAGGCCCCGGUCCUGUAAUUCAGACAGGGACUGUCCUGCAAUAAGAAGGAGAAGUUCUGCACUAAUCGGUUUCAUACGAUUGCCUAUAUUCGGACUUGGGGAAGUUUCAUCCGGCGGAAGAUGUAUGACAAAACAGGAUGCAUUAUGUCAGAUAGGAAGUUUCCUGGGAGGAAGAAGAAACAACUGCAACGUACUGCAAUGCGCAGAAUGCUUAGAUGACCUAGAUUGUGCUUCCUGUUCACAUUGUUAUAACAAUUUUUGCACUACCUGCCGGUCCAGUAACUACUGAUAUAAAUUGAAUUAGACUGUACGAAACACUGAAAGCCUCAAAGUCUGUCCAGUACAGUACUGUCCAGUACAGUACUGUCCAGUACAGUACUGUCCAGUACACAAUUUUUUCAAACCAAACCAAACCAAAUAUUUUGUAAUUUCUAGCGAAAUGUUUGUAGUUUAGAAAUACUUAUGAUAGUUCUAUAUUAAGAACACAAUGCUAAAGUUCUUUAAUAGAAUUUUAACAUUUAAAUCAACCCAACAUAAUAAAAGUACAUUGAAAUAUA